GAUGAACGCUAGCGGCAGGCUUAAUACAUGCAAGUCGUGGGGCAGCAGGUCUGUAGCAAUACAGAUGCUGGCGACCGGCAAACGGGUGCGUAACACGUACGCAACCUUCCCGUUACUGGGGAAUAGCCCAGGGAAACUUGGAUUAAUACCCCAUAUUAUAUUGGUUAGGCAUCUGACUGAUAUCAAAGCUUCGGCGGUAACGGAUGGGCGUGCGGUUGAUUAGGUAGUUGGCGGGGUAACGGCCCACCAAGCCUACGAUCAAUAGCUGAUGUGAGAGCACGAUCAGCCAGACGGGCACUGAGACACGGGCCCGACUCCUACGGGAGGCAGCAGUAAGGAAUAUUGGGCAAUGGACGAAAGUCUGACCCAGCCAUGCCGCGUGAAGGAUGAAGGUCCUCUGGAUUGUAAACUUCUUUUAUCUGGGGCGAAAAUCGGUUAUUCUUAGCCGCUUGACAGUACCAGAUGAAUAAGCGCCGGCUAACUCCGUGCCAGCCGCCGCGGUAAAAC
rnacentral:rRNA from 1 species